rnacentral:rRNA from 1 species
AGAGGGGGCAAGCGUUGCUCGGAAUCACUGGGCGUAAAGGGCGCGUAGGCGGGAGGCCAAGUCGGUCGUGAAAUCUCCGGGCUCAACCCGGAGGGGUCGGCCGAAACUGGUUUUCUUGAGGGAGGCAGAGGAGUCUGGAAUUCCCGGUGUAGCGGUGAAAUGUGUAGAGAUCGGGAGGAACACCGGUGGCGAAGGCGGGACUCUGGGCCUACCCUGACGCUGAGGCGCGAAGGCGUGGGGAGCAAACGGGAUUAGAUACCCCGGUAGUCCACGCGGUAAACGAUGACGACUAGGUGUGGGGGGGUUCAGUCCCUUCCGUGCCGCAGCUAACGCAUUAAGUCGUCCGCCUGGGGAGUACGGCCGCAAGGUUGAA